UACGGAGGGGGCUAGCGUUGUUCGGAAUUACUGGGCGUAAAGCGCGCGUAGGCGGCUUUGUAAGUUAGAGGUGAAAGCCCGGGGCUCAACUCCGGAAUUGCCUUUAAGACUGCAUCGCUAGAAUCGUGGGGAGGUAAGUGGAAUUCCGAGUGUAGAGGUGAAAUUCGUAGAUAUUCGGAAGAACACCAGUGGCGAAGGCGACUUACUGGACACGUAUUGACGCUGAGGUGCGAAAGCGUGGGGAGCAAACAGG
rnacentral:rRNA from 1 species